rnacentral:rRNA from 1 species
UGGGGAAUUUUGGACAAUGGGGUAAACCCUGAUCCAGCCAUCCCGCGUGUGCGAUGAAGGCCUUCGGGUUGUAAAGCACUUUUGGCAGGAAAGAAACGUCAUGGGUUAAUACCCCGUGAAACUGACGGUACCUGCAGAAUAAGCACCGGCUAACUACGUGCCAGCAGCCGCGGUAAUACGUAGGGUGCAAGCGUUAAUCGGAAUUACUGGGCGUAAAGCGUGCGCAGGCGGUUCGGAAAGAAAGAUGUGAAAUCCCAGAGCUCAACUUUGGAACUGCAUUUUUAACUACCGGGCUAGAGUGUGUCAGAGGGAGGUGGAAUUCCGCGUGUAGCAGUGAAAUGCGUAGAUAUGCGGAGGAACACCGAUGGCGAAGGCAGCCUCCUGGGAUAACACUGACGCUCAUGCACGAAAGCGUGGGGAGCAAACAGG